rnacentral:tRNA from 1 species
GGGAAUGUGGCUUAGUGGUAAAGUGCUUGCCUAGCAUGCAUGAAGCCCUGGGUUCGAUUCCUCAGUACCA